rnacentral:rRNA from 1 species
UACGUAGGGGGCAAGCGUUGUCCGGAAUCAUUGGGCGUAAAGAGCGUGUAGGCGGCCUUAUAAGUCGGCUGUGAAAGUCCAGGGCUCAACCCUGGGAUGCCGGUGGAUACUGUCGAGCUCGAGUCCGGAAGAGGCGAGUGGAAUUCCUGGUGUAGCGGUGAAAUGCGCAGAUAUCAGGAGGAACACCAAUGGCGAAGGCAGCUCGCUGGGACGGUACUGACGCUGAGACGCGAAAGCGUGGGGAGCAAACAGG